rnacentral:rRNA from 1 species
UUCCGUAGGGGUGCCUGCGGAGGGAUCAUUACACAAAUAUGAAGGCGGGCUGGAAUCUCUCGGGGUUACAGCCUUGCUGAAUUAUUCACCCUUGUCUUUUGCGUACUUCUUGUUUCCUUGGUGGGUUCGCCCACCACUAGGACAAACAUAAACCUUUUGUAAUUGCAAUCAGCGUCAGUAACAAAUUAAUAAUUACAACUUUCAACAACGGAUCUCUUGGUUCUGGCAUCGAUGAAGAACGCAGCGAAAUGCGAUAAGUAGUGUGAAUUGCAGAAUUCAGUGAAUCAUCGAAUCUUUGAACGCACAUUGCGCCCUUUGGUAUUCCAAAGGGCAUGCCUGUUCGAGCGUCAUUUGUACCCUCAAGCUUUGCUUGGUGUUGGGCGUCUUGUCUCUAGCUUUGCUGGAGACUCGCCUUAAAGUAAUUGGCAGCCGGCCUACUGGUUUCGGAGCGCAGCACAAGUCGCACUCUCUAUCAGCAAAGGUCUAGCAUCCAUUAAGCCUUUUUUCAACUUUGACCUCGGAUCAGGUUGCAUACGCG